AACGAACGCUGGCGGCGCGCCUAAUACAUGCAAGUCGAGCGAGAAGACGUAGCAAUACGUUUGUAAAGCGGCGAACGGGUGAGGAAUACAUGGGUAACCUACCCUCGAGUGGGGAAGUAACUAGCCGAAAGGUUAGCUAAUACCGCGUACGCUCCUUGGACUUCGGUUCAGGGAGGAAAGCGAUACCGUGGGUAUCGCGCUCUUGGAUGGGCUCAUGUCCUAUCAGCUUGUUGGUGAGGUAACGGCUCACCAAGGCUUCGACGGGUAGCUGGUCUGAGAGGACGAUCAGCCACACUGGCACUGCGACACGGGCCAGACUCCUACGGGAGGCAGCAGUAAGGAAUAUUGCGCAAUGGGCGAAAGCCUGACGCAGCGACGCCGCGUGGGGGA
rnacentral:rRNA from 1 species